rnacentral:rRNA from 1 species
GACGAACGCUGGCGGCGCGCCUAGCACAUGCAAGUCGAACGAGCGAGAGAGAGCUUGCUUUCUCGAGCGAGUGGCGAACGGGUGAGUAACGCGUGAGGAACCUGCCUCAAAGAGGGGGACAACAGUUGGAAACGACUGCUAAUACCGCAUAAGCCCACGACCCGGCAUCGGGUAGAGGGAAAAGGAGCAAUCCGCUUUGAGAUGGCCUCGCGUCCGAUUAGCUAGUUGGUGAGGUAACGGCCCACCAAGGCGACGAUCGGUAGCCGGACUGAGAGGUUGAACGGCCACAUUGGGACUGAGACACGGCCCAGACUCCUACGGGAAGCAGCAGUGGGGAAUAUUGCACAAUGGGGGAAACCCUGAUGCAGCGACGCCGCGUGGAGGAAGAAGGUCUUCGGAUUGUAAACUCCUGUUGUUGAGGAAGAUAAUGACGGUACUCAACAAGGAAGUGACGGCUAACUACGUG